rnacentral:misc_RNA from 1 species
GAUGAAGAACGUAGCGAAAUGCGAUAAGUAAUGUGAAUUGCAGAAUUCAGUGAAUCAUCGAGUCUUUGAACGCACAUUGCGCCCCCUGGUAUUCCGGGGGGCAUGCCUGUCCGAGCGUCAUUGCUGCCCUCAAGCACGGCUUGUGUGUUGGGCCCCCGUCCCCGGUUUCCCCCGGGGACGGGCCCGAAAGGCAGCGGCGGCACCGCGUCCGGUCCUCGAGCGUAUGGGGCUUUGUCACCCGCUCUGUAGGCCCGGCCGGCGCCAGCCGACACCCAACUUUAUUUCUAAGGUUGACCUCGGAUCAGGUAGGGAUACCCGCUGAACUUAAGCAUAUCAAUAAGCGGAGG